GACGAACGCUGGCGGCGUGCCUAAUACAUGCAAGUCGAGCGGAAUGAUGAAGAAGCUUGCUUCUUCUGAUUUUAGCGGCGGACGGGUGAGUAACACGUGGGCAACCUACCUUGUAGAUUGGGAUAACUCCGGGAAACCGGGGCUAAUACCGAAUAAUCCAUUUUGCUUCAUGGCGAGAUGUUGAAAGACGGUUUCGGCUGUCACUACAAGAUGGGCCCGCGGCGCAUUAGCUAGUUGGUAGGGUAAUGGCCUACCAAGGCGACGAUGCGUAGCCGACCUGAGAGGGUGAUCGGCCACGCUGGGACUAAGACACGGCCCAGACUCCUACGGGAGGCAGCAGUAGGGAAUCUUCCACAAUGGACGAAAGUCUGAUGGAGCAACGCCGCGUGAGUGAAGAAGGUUUUCGGAUCGUAAAACUCUGUUGUAAGGGAAGAACACGUACGAGAGUAACUGCUCGUACCUUGACGGUACCUUAUUAGAAAGCCACGGCUAACUACGUG
rnacentral:rRNA from 1 species